CCGCGGUACCCUAACCGUGCGAAGGUAGCAUAAUCACUUGUUCUUUAAAUGAGGACUUGUAUCAACGGCACUACGAGGGCUAUACUGUCUCCUUUUUCUAAUCAGUGAAACUGAUCUCCCCGUGAAGAAGCGGGGAUCAAAAUAUAAGACGAGAAGACCCCAUGGAGCUUUAAACUUACCACACACCUCUGUGGUACCACACCAUUUAACACAAGAGACCUGCGUGCUAGUUUUAGGUUGGGGGGACCACGGAGUAUAAUUAAACCUCCACAACAAAUGGGCUAAUACCCUUAUCCACGAGACACAACUCUAAGAAUUACUAAACUAAUGCUUAUGACCCGAUAUUCGAUCAAUGAACCAAGUUACCCUGGGGAUAACAGCGCAAUCUACUUCAAGAGCCCCUAUCGACAAGUAGGUUUACGACCUCGAUGUUGGAUCAGGGUAUCCCGGUGGUGCAGCCGCUACCGAUGGUUCGUUUGUUCAACGAUUAA
rnacentral:rRNA from 1 species